UAGGGAAUCUUCCACAAUGGACGCAAGUCUGAUGGAGCAACGCCGCGUGAGUGAAGAAGGUUUUCGGACCGUAAAGCUCUGUUGUUGGUGAAGAAGGAUAGAGGUAGUAACUGGCCUUUAUUUGACGGUAAUCAACCAGAAAGUCACGGCUAACUACGUGCCAGCAGCCGCGGUAAUACGUAGGUGGCAAGCGCUGUCCGGAUUUAUUGGGCGUAAAGCGAGCGCAGGCGGAAGAAUAAGUCUGAUGUGAAAGCCCUCGGCUUAACCGAGGAAUUGCAUCGGAAACUGUUUUUCUUGAGUGCAGAAGAGGAGAGUAGAACUCCAUGUGUAGCGGUGGAAUGCGUAGAUAUAUGGAAGAAUACCAGUGGCGAAGGCGGCUCUCUGGUCUGCAACUGACGCUGAGGCUCGAAAGCAUGGGUAGCGAACAGGAUUAGAUACCCUGGUAGUCCAUGCCGUAAACGAUGAGUGCUAAGUGUUGGGAGGCUUCCGCCUCUCAGUGCUGCAGCUAACGCAUUAAGCACUCCGCCUGGGGGAGUACGACCGCAAGGUUGAAAC
rnacentral:rRNA from 1 species